AUAUCAAUAAGCGGAGGAAAAGAAAAUAACAAUGAUUUCCCUAGUAACGGCGAGUGAAGAGGAAAGAGCUCAAAGUUGGAACCUGUUUGGCUUAGCUAAACCGGAUUGUAAACUGUAGAAACAUUUUCCAGAUACACUAGACAAAAAAGUCCUUUGGAACAGGGCAUCAUAGAGGGUGAGAAUCCCGUCUUUGGUCUAAGUAGUUGUCUAUUGUGAUAUGUUUUCAAAGAGUCAGGUUGUUUGGGAAUGCAGCCUAAAUUGGGUGGUAAAUCUCACCUAAAGCUAAAUAUUUGCGAGAGACCGAUAGCGAACAAGUACCGUGAGGGAAAGAUGAAAAGAACUUUGAAAAGAGAGUUAAACAGUAUGUGAAAUUGUUAAAAGGGAACCGUUUGGAGCCAGACUGGCUUGAUUGUAAUCAACCUAGAAUUCGUUUUGGGUGCACUUGCAGUCUAUGCCUGCCAACGACAGUUUGAUUUGGAGGAAAAAAUUAAUAGGAAUGUGGCCUCUCGAGGUGUUAUAGCCUAUUAUCAUACUCUGGAUUGGACUGAGGAACGCAGUGAAUGCCUUUAGGCAAGAUUGCUGGGCGCUUUCGCUAAUAAAUGUUAGAAUUUCUGCUUCGGGUGGUGCUAAUGUUUAAAGGAGGAACUCGUUUAGUAUAUUUUUUAUUCGCUUAGGUUGUUGGCUUAAUGACUCUAAAUGA
rnacentral:rRNA from 1 species